rnacentral:tRNA from 1 species
UCCCUAAUGGCUCAGAGGGUAAAGCGUCUGUUUGCAAUGCAGGAGACCCUGGUUCGAUCCCUGGGUCGGGAA